rnacentral:rRNA from 1 species
AAUCUUCCACAACGGACGGAAGUCUGAUGGAGCAACGCCGCGUGAGCGAAGAAGGUUUUCGGAUCGUAAAGCUCUGUUUUAAGGGAAGAACAAGUACGGGCGUCACUGCCCGUACCUUUCCGGUCUCUUACCAGAAGGCCACCGCUAACUACGUUCCAGCCGCCGCGGUAAUACGUAGGUGGCAAGCGUUGUCCGGAAUUAUUGGGCGUAAAGCGCGCGCAGGCGGUCCUUUAAGUCUGAUGUGAAAGCCCACGGCUCAACCGUGGAGGGUCAUUGGAAACUGGAGGACUUGAGUACAGAAGAGGAAAGCGGAAUUCCACGUGUAGCGGUGAAAUGCGUAGAGAUGUGGAGGAACACCAGUGGCGAAGGCGGCUUUCUGGUCUGUAACUGACGCUGAGGCGCGAAAGCGUGGGGAGCAAACA